rnacentral:rRNA from 1 species
GACAGAGGUGCCGAGCGUUAGGCGGAAUCACUGGGCUUAAAGCGUGUGUAGGCGGGUCGUUAAGUGCCUUGUGAAAUCCCACAGCUCACCUGUGGAACUGCUUGGCAUACUGGCGAUCUUGAGCCACUUAGGGGCAACCGGAACAAACGGUGGAGCGGUGAAAUGCGUUGAUAUCUACAGGAACUCCGGUGGCGAAAGCGGCGUGGCUGGAUCUCUUCUGACGCUGAGGCUCGAAAGCUAGGGGAGCAAAGCGGG